GCCCUUAGAGUUUGAUCCUGGCUCAGGAUGAACGCUGGCGGUAUGCUUUACACAUGCAAGUCGUACGAGAGUUUUUAACUCAAGUGGCGGACGGGUGAGUAACACGUAAGAAUUUGCCUUUAGGAGGGGGAUAACAACUGGAAACGGUUGCUAAUACCCCAUAUGCUUUCGAGUAAAAUGGAAUUUUCCGCCUAAAGAGAAGCUUGCGGCUGAUUAGCUUGUUGGUGAGGUAAUGGCUCACCAAGGCGACGAUCAGUAUCUGGUUUGAGAGGACGAUCAGACACACUGGAACUGAGACACGGUCCAGACUCCUACGGGAGGCAGCAGUAGGGGAAUUUUCCGCAAUGGGCGAAAGCCUGACGAGAGCAAUACCGCGUGAGGGAUGACGGCCUAUGGGUUGUAAACCUCUUUUUUCAGGGAGGAAUCAAUGACGUGUACCUGAAGAAUAAGCAUCGGCUAACUCCGUGCCAGCAGCCCGCGGUAAGACGGAGGAUGCAAGUGUUAUCCGGAAUCACCUGGGCGUAAAGCGUCUGUAGGUGGUCAAAAUAAAGUCAACUGUUAAAUCUUUGAGGCUCAACCUCAAAAUCGCAGUCGAAACUAAUUCCGACUAGAGUAUAGUAGGGGUAAAGGGAAUUUCCCAGUGGAGCGGUGAAAUGCGUAGAGAUUGGAAAGAACACCGAUGGGCGAAGGCACUUUUACUGGGCUAUUUACUAACACUGAGAGACGAAAGCUAGGGUAGCAAAUGGGAUUAGAUACCCCAGUAGUCCUAGCCGUAAACAAUGGAUACUAGAUGUUGAACAGAUCGACCUGUGCAGUAUCAAAGCUAACGCGUUAAGUAUCCCGCCUGGGAAGUAUGCUCGCAAGAGUGAAACUCAAAUGAAUUGACGGGGAAGGGC
rnacentral:rRNA from 1 species